UGAUGGUUUCAGACACAUUUCUCUUCAUAUGUGAUAGCGUUUUUCUGUUUUAUGUGCUUUUACGAUUGAUCCAGUGACUGAAGCGACUGUGCUGGCAACCUCCUCCGUGGUAAUAACAACAAAUGACUCAGUAUGAACUUUGGAAGUGGAACAACCCAGAAGUUGCUUCAUACUCCAGUAGUUUGUGACAGAAGAUGGUGAUGGCCUUUAAAUGCAAAGGACUUUAAAAACCUACGUGGUUGUGAUGAUUGUUUUUGUUAUAUUACUGCAAAGUUUGCUGGAGUUUCCAAUAAACCAUCAAGGCCAGUUGUUGUUAUACUGGAAAGAAAAAAAAGAAACUUUUUUACCUGAGAAUUUUGAUGCUUGUUGUGUGGGAUAUAGAAGUUUACCAAAUCCUCGCUUCUUUGUUGGACUUUUCCUUUUGGUGGCCACAGAUUCCUUCCUGUGUGUUCCUUUACAUCCUUCCUGGGUGCUAUUGCAAGAGAGAUCUUUCCAGCCAGUGGCUGGGGAGUAACAAACAUUGGGAUUAGCCCUGUGUUUUCCCAUUCCAGACCCCAUAAAUAAAGGAAAGCACUGAACUUCUGAAGCCUUACACACAUGGCAGUUUUCCAUUGUCUGUGAGAACUGUAAAGGCAGAUAACUCCUAUGGAUUAAUUUGAGGACUGGAGGGACAUGGGAAGCACAAGAGAGUGAGAAUGGGACGUAGCCGCUAUCAGGAUGACUUUAUUAGCAAUAGUAUGUUUUUAAAUAAUAGCUGGGGGCUAUGCAGCCUGUCCUAUCUUGUAUUAGUCUGUCAGGCUUUCCACUACAGUUGUGUAAGCAAGCGUAUUUGUAGUUGGCUGUGGUGUUUGUAGUUGUGCUGUACUGUUUUAGUUGGAGAUCAAGCUCCUGGAAAAAACUUGAUCUCCUGCCACUAAAAUGUCCAAAAUAUGUAUUUAUCUUAUGUUACAUCUUUUGAAAUGCUCUUGGUCACUACCUGUGUGUAUCUUGUAAUUUAGUAUUAAAACUCUUUCUUUUUCCUGUUAAUUCAAAACAGAAUAUGUUGUCAGGUGUUGUUAAGACAGUAUUUCAUUUCAAAGAGUUAAGUACUGUAAACCUCUGUAUGCCUGCACAAAACAUCGAAACAUUGUUAAAUGGAGUUCAUAUGCUCACCUCCUUUUUAUUAGGACUGACAUUUAAUUGUUUUGCUAAUGAUGAGGAUGGGUAUUUUUGUUCUCUUUCCCUUUUUCUAAAUCUAGCUGUAGCCACAGUGUUUUGUGUGUAGUGGGCUGGGUUAUGCUUUCUUGGCUGACCAGGUGGUUUCUCUGAUGGGCG
rnacentral:lncRNA from 1 species